UGAUCCUGGCUCAGAUGACGCUAGCUACAGCUACACAUGCAAGUCGAGGGGCAGCAUGGUCUUAGCUUGCUAAGGCCGAUGGCGACCGGCGCACGGGUGAGUAACACGUAUCCAACCUGCCGUCUACUCUUGGACAGCCUUCUGAAAGGAAGAUUAAUACAAGAUGGCAUCAUGAGUCCGCAUGUUCACAUGAUUAAAGGUAUUCCGGUAGACGAUGGGGAUGCGUUCCAUUAGAUAGUAGGCGGGGUAACGGCCCACCUAGUCUUCGAUGGAUAGGGGUUCUGAGAGGAAGGUCCCCCACAUUGGAACUGAGACACGGUCCAAACUCCUACGGGAGGCAGCAGUGAGGAAUAUUGGUCAAUGGGCGAGAGCCUGAACCAGCCAAGUAGCGUGAAGGAUGACUGCCCUAUGGGUUGUAAACUUCUUUUAUAAAGGAAUAAAGUCGGGUAUGGAUACCCGUUUGCAUGUACUUUAUGAAUAAGGAUCGGCUAACUCCGUGCCAGCAGCCGCGGUAAUACGGAGGAUCCGAGCGUUAUCCGGAUUUAUUGGGUUUAAAGGGAGCGUAGAUGGAUGUUUAAGUCAGUUGUGAAAGUUUGCGGCUCAACCGUAAAAUUGCAGUUGAUACUGGAUAUCUUGAGUGCAGUUGAGGCAGGCGGAAUUCGUGGUGUAGCGGUGAAAUGCUUAGAUAUCACGAAGAACUCCGAUUGCGAAGGCAGCCUGCUAAGCUGCAACUGACAUUGAGGCUCGAAAGUGUGGGUAUCAACAGGAUA
rnacentral:rRNA from 1 species